rnacentral:rRNA from 2 species
GGAUGAACGCCGGCGGUGUGCCUAAUACAUGCAAGUCGUACGCACUGGCCCAACUGAUUGAUGGUGCUUGCACCUGAUUGACGAUGGAUCACCAGUGAGUGGCGGACGGGUGAGUAACACGUAGGUAACCUGCCCCGGAGCGGGGGAUAACAUUUGGAAACAGAUGCUAAUACCGCAUAACAACAAAAGCCACAUGGCUUUUGUUUGAAAGAUGGCUUUGGCUAUCACUCUGGGAUGGACCUGCGGUGCAUUAGCUAGUUGGUAAGGUAACGGCUUACCAAGGCGAUGAUGCAUAGCCGAGUUGAGAGACUGAUCGGCCACAAUGGAACUGAGACACGGUCCAUACUCCUACGGGAGGCAGCAGUAGGGAAUCUUCCACAAUGGGCGCAAGCCUGAUGGAGCACACCGCGUGAGUGAAGAAGGGUUUCGGCUCGUAAAGCUCUGUUGUUGGAGAAGAACGUGCGUGAGAGUAACUGUUCAYGCAGUGACGGUAUCCAACCAGAAAGUCACGGCUAACUACGUGCCAGCAGCCGCGGUAAUACGUAGGUGGCAAGCGUUAUCCGGAUUUAUUGGGCGUAAAGCGAGCGCAGGCGGUUGCUUAGGUCUGAUGUGAAAGCCUUCGGCUUAACCGAAGAAGUGCAUCGGAAACCGGGCGACUUGAGUGCAGAAGAGGACAGUGGAACUCCAUGUGUAGCGGUGGAAUGCGUAGAUAUAUGGAAGAACACCAGUGGCGAAGGCGGCUGUCUGGUCUGCAACUGACGCUGAGGCUCGAAAGCAUGGGUAGCGAACAGGAUUAGAUACCCUGGUAGUCCAUGCCGUAAACGAUGAGUGCUAGGGUGUUGGAGGGUUUCCGCCCUUCAGUGCCGGAGCUAACGCAUUAAGCACUCCGCCUGGGGAGUACGACCGCAAGGUUGAAACUCAAAGGAAUUGACGGGGGCCCGCACAAGCGGUGGAAGCAUGUGGUUUAAUUCGAAGCUACGCGAAGAACCUUACCAGGUCUUGACAUCUUGCGCUAACCUUAGAGAUAAGGCGUUCCCUUCGGGGACGCAAUGACAGGUGGUGCAUGGUCGUCGUCAGCUCGU